GACGAACGCUGGCGGCGUGCUUAACACAUGCAAGUCGAGCGGUAAGGCCCUUUCGGGGGUAACUACGAGCGGCGAACGGGUGAGUAACACGUGGGUGACCUGCCCUCAGCUCUGGGAUAAGCCUGGGAAACUGGGUCUAAUACUGGAUAUGACUCCACGGUGCAUGUCGUGGGGUGGAAAGCCUUGUGCGGCGUGAGGAUGGGCCCGCGGCCUAUCAGCUUGUUGGUGGGGUGANGGCCUACCAAGGCGACGACGGGUAGCCGGCCUGAGAGGGCGACCGGCCACACUGGGACUGAGACGGCGGGCCCAGACUCCUACGGGAGGCAGCGAGUGGGGAAU
rnacentral:rRNA from 1 species